rnacentral:lncRNA from 1 species
AAGGGAUUGGGACAAUUAAAAAAAAUAUAUAUAUAUAUACAUAUACAUACAUACACACACACACACAUAUAUAUGUGUUUCCUGAUGAAUUGGCGUGAAGAAUUCCUCUUUUGGGCACCAAGGAAAAAGAUUAGCCAGAGUAAAGCUAGCUGUAGCAUUUAUUGCCCAUCUCUGUAUUGUUUGUUGUUUCAGCCCUAAGGGGGAAAAUGGUUAGUCUGAGAAAAGCUAGCUGUAGCAUUUAUUGCCCGGUCUCUGGGUUUAUCCAGUCUCUGCCUUGUCUGUUCAGUCUAUGUAUUGUCCAUCUCUUUGGGAUCAAUCACUUGGGCCAGCCCUUUGGAAGUUGAUUUGUAUGCAGUUUUUUUUUUUUUUAAACAAAUCGGUAACUGAGACAGCCUGCGACUUAUUUGGGCUAUUUGCUUUGUGAUGGGAUUUGAACUCAGGACCCAUGUCUCAGGUGAUAAGAGGUUUUCCUUGGUCAGAUCUGAUUUUUGUAAGUUUUGUUGGUAUCCAUAUUUUUUCAUUCCCUGUAGAUAUAUAAGUAUAACCACACCCCAUCUGAGUGCUAUUGCGGGUUUCCAUUCUAAUGUCAACAUAUCCUUAUACUAUAUUGGUUGACCUAGUUCCUCAAUUUUUUUCCAUAACCCAGUGUCUCUGAGCUGCUGUUGUUCCUUCUUGACCGACAUUAAGAAAAUUGAGAGUUAGCAAUGCAUUAUUUAGCCUGUCUCUCGGUUUUUUUUUUUUACCCUCCCUUUUUGCCCAAUAAGCGUCUCUUUUAAGGUACGAUUGGCUCUUUUUAUAAUUGCUUGUCCUGUGGGAUUGUGUGGUACACCAGUAAUAUGCUUUAUAUUAUAAUAUGCCAAGAAUUGCUCCAUCUUAUUGGAUACAUGUGUGGGGGCAUUGUCAGUUUUGAUUUGUGCAGGUAUCCCCAUAAUUGCCAUUAUUUCCAAUGAAUGUGUAAUUAGACAGUCAGCCCUUUCAGAACUUAAAGCAGCUGCCCAUUGAAACCCUGAGAAUGUGUCAAUGGUGUGCUAUAUGUACCUUUGUUUCCCAAAUUCUGCAAAAUGGAGAACAUCCAGCUGCUGGAUGUCAUUUCUUUUGUACCCUUAGGGUUACUACCAGGAGGUAACAGAGUUUGGCUGUAUAGAGAACACGUACGACAAUUUUUUUUAUUAUUAUUUCUUUGGCUUGUUGCCAAGUGAUGGACCUUUUUUUUUUUUCUUUAAACCUUUCCCACUAACAUGAUGUUCCUCAUGAAGUUUUGAGGCUUAUAACACAUUUCCUGUUAGUAAUUGAUCAUUUUCCUCAUUUCCUUGAGCUGAUGGACCUGGCAAACCUGUAUGAGACGGAAGAUGAGAAAUAGGUAAUGGAUAAUUUCCACUUCUCAUGGCCUGUUGCAGUUGUAUACAUAAUGAGGUUAAUUCUGAGUUAUCAGAUAUAAAUCCAGCAGUCUCUGUAUGUAAAACAACUCUUUCUGCAUAUAAAGAAUCGGUAUUUAUGUUGAGAGGUUCAGGAUAAUCUAAUCAUACCAUAAGGCUAGCAUACAGUUCUGACGUUUGAACCGCUGUAUAUGGCCUUUUGAUUACCUUGCUUAUUUUUCCUGAUUUAUAACCUGCCAUCCACACCUUGUUUGCAUCAAUAUAAAAUGCUGCUGUGUCUGGAACUGGUGUUCUCUUUACAAUACAUGGAAGAAUCCAAGAAGUUCUUUUUUAAACUAUAUACAUUUGAUAUUUGUUAUUUAUUUUGCCCAAUAAAUUAUUACAAGCUCUUU